AGCGAACGCUGGCGGCAGGCCUAAUACAUGCAAGUCGAGCGCACCUUCGGGUGAGCGGCGGACGGGUGAGUAACGCGUGGGAACGUGCCCUUUGGUACGGGAUAACUGAGGGAAACUUCAGCUAAUACCGUAUGUGCCCUACGGGGGAAAGAUUUAUCGCCAUUGGAGCGGCCCGCGUUGGAUUAGGUAGUUGGUGGGGUAAAGGCCCACCAAGCCGACGAUCCAUAGCUGGUCUGAGAGGAUGAUCAGCCACACUGGGACUGAGACACGGCCCAGACUCCUACGGGAGGCAGCAGUAGGGAAUCUUGCGCAAUGGGCGAAAGCCUGACGCAGCCAUGCCGCGUGAAUGAUGAAGGUCUUAGGAUUGUAAAAUUCUUUCACCGGGGAAGAUAAUGACGGUACCCGGAGAAGAAGCCCCGGCUAACUUCGUGCCAGCCGCCGCAGUAAGAC
rnacentral:rRNA from 1 species